rnacentral:lncRNA from 1 species
UGAGUUGAAAACUUGUUAGACAAUAACAUUGUCGUAAACAACAAAAAUUCGUAAUGUCUCUUUUUAUAUAUAUUUCGAAAAGAAGGUAAAAUCUAGGCACCUAAUCACAUUGGUGCAUAAUGAAAAAAUCUAUCAAACUCAAGUCCAUAAAUUUGAGAUGAUUAGUUGAAAAUGAUCUAAGACUAUCAAGUUUCAAAUUCAAUUACUUGAUACUUCAAUCCUUUACAUUAUAGUUAUGAAGAAAAAGUAUUACAAAAGUGAAGUUCACAUUGAUAAUGUUGAAGAAGAAGAUGAUGGGUUGAUUUAAUUGGUGAGCAACACACUUAGUUUUUUCUAAUUUAUCUUCACAAAUCUACAAGUAAUUUUGGAUGAAUGAUUUCACUAACACAAAAUCAAAGAAAUCAACACAAAACUCAGAAAACUAGUAGAAGUGAAGCAAAGUAUGUUCAUCUGUUGUUACAGUCAAUAUUACCAAAGGUCUAAAACAGAGGUGAAGUUAGUGUAGUGAGCAACCCAUUUCAGCCUUUAAUUAGAAGGCAUGAUUUUUUUAGGGCAAUUUCUAACCAACUCAAUUACCAUAAAAUUUGCAGAGAAGUAGUAAAGGAAAUGAAGCAGAAGAAGCUAAGUAAAUAUCCAGAUAAAGAAGAGAAGAAAAUCAAACUAAAUUCUAGCUCUAGGAUUCAGUUCCAUCAUCCACAAAACAUCAAAAUCCAUGAUUUCAGCUCAAAUUCUAAAUGAAGUGAAAAGAAUUAC